rnacentral:rRNA from 1 species
UGGGGAAUCUUGGACAAUGGGGGCAACCCUGGUCCAGCGACGCCGCGUGGGUGGUAAGGCCUUCGGGUUGUAAAGCCCUUUCACCGGGGAAGAUGAUGACAUUACCCGGAGCAGAAGCGCCGGCUAACUCCGUGCCAGCAGCCGCGGUAAGACGGAGGGCGCUAGCGUUGUUCGGAAUCACUGGGCGUAAAGGGCGCGUAGGCGGCUGUUUAAGUCGAGGGUGAAAGCCCGGGGCUCAACCCCGGAUCGGCCUUCGAGUCUGGGCAGCUCGAGACCGGAAGAGGAGGGUGGAAGACCCAGUGUAGAGGGGAAAGUCGGAGAUAUUGGGUGGAACACCAGUGGCGAAAGCGGCUCUCUGGUCCGGAUCUGACGCUGAGGCGCGAAAGCGUGGGGAGCAAACAGGAUUAGAUACCCGGGUAGUCC